GAUAGCGGCUUGCACGCUUUGGGAAUUUCCUCUGACACCAUCGAAACACGGUGCUGCCUCGCACACCCCAGGACGGUAUAUAAGAGGGUUGGUUACACAGCUCAGACAUCAGAAACCUCCCGAGACAACAAGAGAGAUCACUGCUCCUUCCUAGCAAGCAGAGCCAGAAGAAUCCAGGAGGGAAGCUCGCCUCGCCUCUCAUCAUGAACGGCAAGUUGGUUGUUGCUGUCUUGGCUCUUUUCCUAAUCUACGCAGCGGUGUCAGAAGGGAUGAGUCUGGCAAGGAUGGGGAAUGAGCUCCGAUGCCAGUGCAUCGACUUGCAUUCCAAGUUCAUCCCUCCCAGGAGCAUUCGAGAUGUGAAGCUGACCCCGAGCGGACCUCACUGCCAGAACACUGAAAUCAUCGCUACUCUCAAGGAUGGCAGAGAAGUGUGCUUGAAUCCCACUGCUCAAUGGGUGAAGAUCAUCAUUAAAGCAAUUUUGGACAAAGCUCAAGCCAAUGCUGAGGCAAAACGCUAAGAGAAACCAAAGAAGAAAAAUCUGAGGUUCUCCUCCAGUUUCCCCUUGAAGGAAACAUCUCUGUGAAAAUGCCAGUCCAUCUGCAAGCAGCCCACCUCCUUCUGUUCACAUGUUCUCAGGCAGACUGCAGCUAGCAGUAUCUAUUUUCUAUUUAUGUAUUUAUUUAUUGAGGUGCUUCAUUUUAAGAGUUUUUUUUUUUUUAAAAGAAAAGGCUCAGUUGUGCAUGGAAUAUGCCACUUUCUGAAGCUGAAAGCACUGGAUGGGGAAAAGUGAUUUGCUGAGGGAAAUCAAGACCCUUUGGAAACCACUGAAGCUGAACAGGGCUGUAUGAGUGCAAUGCAUUUGCAGCACAGCUGUAUCUAUUGUAAGCCUGGCUCUUACCCUGUUAGAGCAGCAAACUGGCACCAGUUACCCCUCCCCUGCACUGGUAUGUUGCAUCAACAGCACCAUGAGUCAGAGCCAGCCUGAGGCUGGCUACUGCCUGGGGUUCUGUGGCUUUCCGAAGUGAAGCAGCCAAAGCGCUGUUAUUUGGGGAGCAUUAUUUAUUGUGCUAUAGCACAUCAAUGUUUUUAUCUCUCGUGCACUAUUUAAAAAGGUAAUAUUUGAGUAGGAAAACAAACAAACUAUUUAUUUAAGUGAUUUUUUAUUCAUCUUUAUUCUAAUAUAGAAUAUUUCACAUUCCUGCUGUUGUGUGUUAGGAUUUUAUGUUAAUUUUAUGUUAAUUUAUCUAUUUUAUUCAAUGAAUGGAAAAAUUGUUGAAACUCAUGUUGCAAUUUGUUUUAUUCC